CUUCCUUCCCCUUGGUCCCUCUCUCUCUCUCUCUGCCAGUCUCUCAUUCAUCGAAGCCCCAUAUUUGUUCCUUUCGUUUCGAUGUCUGCAACUCCCAGCGUCGGACGACUAGCUUAAUCAGCUUCGUUUCAGCUGAAGACUUGCACUUUGAGAGGUUCAAAAUGUUUCAAGGCUAUGUUGGAGCAAAUCAUAUAGUUUUCUGCAGGUUUCCUACGCUUGCUCACAAAGAUAAGUUGGCUUCCUAAGAGAAGCAGAUGGUUACUUCUCCCAGUACAAAUAGGCCUGGGAGGCCUGGUAUUUCACUGCAGCGAGGACAGCUUCCUCUAUCCCAUAUGCAGUCCAUGCAGCAGCCUCAGCCGCCACAAUCUCAAAUUACUCAAGUGCAGUUUCAUGAAAAUCAAAUGAACCCUUAUUUGCAAUCAAUUAAUUUGCAAGGCUCUCUCUCUCUCUCUCUUUCUCUCUCUCUCUCUCUCUCUCUCUCUCUCUCUCUCUCUCUCUCUCUUAAUUUUAAUACAAAUAUCUUAAUUUGACUGAUUAAUUUGUUGAAGUGAGAAUUGAAUGCUCUUUAUAUUUUA